UCCACCUAACUGUCAAAACGGGCUUAUAACUUGACCUGAUAUCUUUACGGUCCUUGGCAACGACGCAAUUUCGUCCCAACCCAAGUAGCAACCGAAGCUUUUUUCUCCCAGUUUCAACCCCCUCAUGUCCAAAAACUGCCUUCGCUCACUAUUCCUAUCCCAUUUGUACAUUCUACAAUGUUUGUUGCGUUCUCGCUCAUCAAGGUGUUAGUCAAUUCUCUCUUGCCACACGAAGAGAAUUCUCCUGCACACUUCGUGUGUUUGAUUCUACCCAUCCCUGUUGAACACAAGUCGUUUUCUUCCUUCGCACUCAUCAGGGUGUUUGCUCUUUUCCAUCCAAGCCAAAGAGCGACUUCAGUGUACUCUGAACCGUGGACAUGAGAGUGUGUGUUUUUGUGCUGCGUGAACUAUUUUUCCUGCGUAAAACACUUUCCCGUACUGCACCAUCCGCGGUGUUCUUUUUGCUUUAUCGAAGGACGAAUUGUUAUCAUCUAAUUAUUUCGUUUCAGCUGUGUGCUGCUACCGCUAGCUGUUCUCCAAACCUCUUCAAAUUUCGACACUGUGUGCACAGGCGUUCAAGGUUCAAUCGAUCCUCAAGCACAAAGCCUUCAUACAACACCGCGGUUGAGGCGCGCCAAAUCUGAUGAUAGUAUUCGCAAAGAUUUACUCGCAAAACGGAUGGAAAUGGAAGCCAGGAAGAAUAUUGCCUGAAUUCGGCAAUGUAAUGUACCGUGUUAUGACUGAGGACCAUAAGGUUAUACGAAGCCAUAUCAACCCAAGCCAGUAAGCGUGAUCAACACCUUUUGCCGCUACAUAUUCUCUUGGAUGAGUGGAACCUUCCCAGCUAGCAAAGCCGAAGGCCUUUGUAUGGGAGCCAUCGCGCUCAUCAAGGCUCACUUACCCAAGUAGCAGAGCCGAAGUUGUUGAGAGAUUUUGCUGUGUGCCAAAGCGAGAGGUCCUGUCUUCUCUCUCUAGAUUUUGGACUGCAAACCGCCGCCCGUGUAGAGGUGUGUGCGUGUGACGAAAAACGAUGGAUGAAAAACGCGAGGAGCGGGGACUGAAGUCUUUCGGUGGUCACACACACAUGCAUCUUCCAGCUUAUUGCACUACACCGAGUCUACCCAUCUCUCUCGAUCCACCAUGAUUUUUCUGCUAUCGCGCUCAUCCGAGUGUGAGGCAUCCUCAGUCUGUCCAGCACUUUCCCUGUGGAAAGAUGUACUGAAGUGAGGUGCGAUUUCUUGUGCGACGUACUUUGCUCGUCUACGUUUUGGGCCGUGUUCAGUUCAGUUAUUGAAUGAUUUAUCGUAGCAAAUUGUUGAGGUGUGUGCGCUAUUUAUCAACGACUACAUGCUGGCCUCGUCAACAAUGUUCAAAAUGAGCGACGAAAAGAAAACGUUUUUCAGUUUUAAAAUAUUAAGCGUUCAGCACAAAACUGCCACAAACCAACGCACUGAAUUACGCCAAGAACCUGUCGAAACGCGCGCAGCUCAGCGUCAUUACUUAACAGAAGCCAGUUCAAAACGCGCAGCUCCUGUUCAUGACGUCAUCACUAAACUGAAGCCAGCUGAACACGCGCAGCACGGAUGGUACCCCGAGCGCGGUAGGAGGAAGGAAGAACAAGAGGAGGAUGAACAGUAAAUUUAGAAGGGGGAAAGCGUUCUGCCGUCUACACAGCGGGAGUAUGUCAAAACACAUGUGGGAAGGGAGAGAGAUACUA